AUUGGUGGCAUCGGGCAGCAGCGGGUGGCAAGGUACUGUGGCAAAGGGUGGCAAAAGCCAUGGUGGCAAGUGGGGGGAGGGUAGGAGACUGCUGAGGGGCCCUCGGAGGGCCCAAACCCCCUGGUGGUCCCGUGUUCUUGGAACACCUUUGGGCGCUGGUAGCUCCACCCCUGGAAGGAACAUUGCUGUGCUGUGGGUUUGUGCACCUCCCACACUUUAUGCAUAGAAAAGGAGACUGAAAACUUCUGCUUUCAUUUUUGAAUGAAACACCAUUUCCUGUUAUGUCCAAACUCAGGAAACAAGAAUAACUCACUGAGCAGCCAUCAUAUGACCAUUGUGUUUUGAUCAUUGCUCCCAAGUACUGGCAACUGGGAGGGUUGGAUGACUUUGGCCUGUGCUACCAUUUUUAUUACUUGGUGCCUGACGACAACACUUCCUCUCAGGCAGAGAAGAAGGAUCAGAAAAAAGGACAGUCACCCUGCUUGAAACAGAGAACAUGUUCCUAUAGAACAGAGUCCCCAGAUGUUGUUGGACUACAGCUCCCAUCAUCCUCAGCUACAGUGACCAAGGCCUACAUUUUGGGUACCCAAGUUUGAGAACCCCUUGCAGCCUUGCUAUAGAAGAUGCAGUAGAUCCAUGGAUAUGUUAAGUUCUUGAUUAAAAUGUUCUUUCAAGUUAUAACGGAACAUUGAUUUGUGACAGAAAACAAAACAUUGAUUUUGGUAUUAAAAUGGGCUGAGGCGUCAUUCUACAGUGUUGUUAAAAGGAAAUUUGAAAAAACCACCUUACUUAAA